rnacentral:lncRNA from 1 species
UUUAAUGAUUUCCAUUCCGCUCAAAGCAUCAUUUUUCCAAGGUGGUAUAUUAGUCAUUGUGAUAGUUCAAUCCUAGACAUCUCAUUACAGGGGUUUAGUGACGCCAGUCUAGGUGCUUACGGUUGCUGUAUCUAUUUACUAUACUCUCUAAAUAACAAGCAACACCAUUGUUCCCUUGUUACUGCUAAAUCCAGAAUUACCCCAAUAAGAAAAACUACUAUUCCCCGCUUAGAGUUAAGAGCAGCCUUGUUAUUAACUGAAACUAUGUCUAUUGUCGUUAAGGAACUUUCCCCAAUUUUUACAUUUAAAGACAUUAUAUGUUGGACUGACUCCACUAUCGCUUUACAUUGGAUAAUUAACACUAAAAAAGUUUAUCAUACCUUUAUACAAAAACGUGUACGUAAAAUUCGAAAAGAUUUUGAUAUUACCCAUUGGAAAUAUGUAGACUCUCGUAAUAACCCAGCAGAUAUAGAUUCAAGAGGUACAGACAUAGUAGGUUAACAAAAUUGUAAACAUUGGUUUAAUGGACCUUUGUUCCUAUGUAACAACCUCAAUGAUUAGACAAAAUUUGAUCUAGUAAAUCAACCUAUGAAUAUUGUAGAAGAAAUAUUAACUAAUAUUGUUGCAAGUGACACUUCUAUUAAUUUAAAAAUGGUUGAUAUUAAAAAGCUUAAUAGCUAUACCCUUUUAUUACAUGUUACAGCUUUAGUAUUACGGUUCAUUAGAAACCUCAAGAAGAAGAAAGCUAAAAAAAGUUUAAAACUAUCUCCUCUAGAUUCCUCAGAGAUUGAUUAUGCUUUAAAAAUUUGGAUACAAUAUGCCCAACAAACUAUCACCAGUACAAAGAACUAUAAACAAAUCCAACGUGAUCUAAACCUACGUGAGAUUGAUGGUAACAUACGUUGCUAUGGGCGUCUAGAAAAUGCCCCAAUCCCAUCAGAUAUGAAGUACCCCAUCUUCUUGCCACGCGAUUUAGAGUUUACUGAUUUAGUUAUUUACUACCAUCACUCGAUAGUCAUGCAUAACGGUAUAAAAGAAACAUUAAACCAGUUACGCAGUAGGUUUUGGGUACCGAAAGCGAGAAAAACAUCAAGAAACUUAUUCGGAAAUGUCACUUAUGCAAACGUUUUGAAGGGCUGCCUUACUCUUACCCCAAAGCACCCCCUUUACCAUUACGCAGACUAAAUGAUGACCAUGCUUUUAAUUUUACAGAUUUAGUUCCUGAUUCAUCUGCUGAAUCUUGUGUUCGUAGUUUACGACGGUUUAUAGCAAAACGAGGAGCACCUGUAGAAAUUACUUUCGAUAAUGGCUCACAUUUUAUCUCUAAAGUCACUCAAGACUUUAUAUCAUCUCGUGGAAUAUCAUGGCAUUUCAACCCUCCCGCUGCACCGUGGUGGGGAGGAUUCUUCGAAAGACUUAAUGCUUCAACAAAACGCUGUCUCCGCAAAGUAAUAGCAAAUGCACGCCCUACCUAUGAAGAGCUUUUAACUAUAUUAGCCGAAGUUGAAGUUGUCGUCAACAAUCGUCCGAUCACAUUAACAUACAAUAAACCUGGAGACACCCCAUUGACGCCAAAUCAUUUAUUAUAUGGGAGGACAUUAAACUUUUUAGCAAUUGAAGAUGACAAUAUAUAAUAUAACUUAAAUGCACGCAGCGCAUACAUUAGUAACGGUCUAAAUCACUAUUGGAAGCGAUGGAGAGAUGAAUAUGUUACUGAGCUAAGAGAAUAUCAAAAACAUAUUAAAGGAAAGGAAACAAAUCAAAUUGCAAUAAACGACGUGGUAUUAAUACACGAUCCUAAUAUUAAACAAGGGUUAUGGAAAACGGGAAUUUUUCAAAGACUAAUCAAAUCACAUGAUAAUCAAAUACGAAUAGCAAAAGUUAAGUAUAUUAUUAAUGGAAAAGAAAUUAUCAUUCAAAGACCUAUUAAUAAGCUGUACUUUUUAGAAGGUUCGCAUCGAAAGUCGAACGAAAAAAUAAUUAACGUGAAGUUCUGCGGUGAAAAUGACAUUAAACUCUUUGUAAAUAAUAAGAUAAGUGGGGAAUGUUGCGCGUGAUCGCGCACGUGUUAAACCUUUUUACGGUUCUUGUUACAUUUUAAUUCACGAGGUCUUAUGUUUAUUAUAUAAAAAAAGAGAGCCGCGUCUGAGAAACGUGUGUCACUUGUAAAUGUAUUAAAAUAUAUUAUUUUUUAA